GGGAGUAGCUCGGGACCUGGUGGCCCGCGCGGUCUUCAAAACCGUCUGGGGCGCAGUGACCCUGCGUCCGGUGGGUUCGAUUCCCACAUACUCCCGCCA
rnacentral:tRNA from 1 species